AAGAUACUAGUAAAAUCAUUACUUUGCCUUGUCAAGGCAAAAUUGUAGGUUAAACCCCUGCGUAUCUUA
rnacentral:tRNA from 1 species